UGAAUACGAGAUGCUACGGCGUCGAAGCAGUCUAUGUCAUACUUCCAAGAAAAGCUUGCACUGUCAUAAACAAAUAAUGCCUGUACCAUAACCGACACAGGUGGGUAAGUAGAGUAUACUAAGGGGCGCGAGAUAACUCUCUCUAAGGAACUCGGCAAAAUGACUCCGUAACUUCGGGAGAAGGAGUGCCUUAUUUAUAAGGUUGCAAUAACAAGAUCCAAGCAACUGUUUACCAAAAACACAGGUCUCCGCUAAGUCGUAAGACGAUGUAUGGGGGCUGACGCCUGCCCAGUGCCAGAAGGUUAAAGAAGUUGGUUAGCAUCCGCGAAGCUGAUAACUGAAGCCCUGGUGAACGGCGGCCGUAACGAUAACGGUCCUAAGGUAGCGAAAUUCCUUGUCGGGUAAGUUCCGACCCGCACGAAAGGCGUAAUGAUUUGGAUACUGUCUCGGAGAGGGGCUCGGUGAAAUAGACUUGUCUGUGAAGAUGCGGACUACCUGCACCAGGACAGAAAGACCCUAUGAAGCUUUACUGUAACCUGAAAUUGAAAUUGGACUUUACUUGCGCAGUAUAGGUGGGAGGCGUUGAGAAUAUUCUUGCGGGAUUAUUGGAGCCAUCAGUGAGAUACCACUCUUGUAAUGUUAGAUUUCUAACUUUGUAUCAUUAUCUGGUCAAAGAACAGUUUCAGGCGGGCAGUUUGACUGGGGCGGUCGCCUCCUAAACGGUAACGGAGGCGCACAAAGGUUUCCUCUGAACGGGUAGAAAUCGUAUCUAGAGUGUAAAGGCAUAAGGAAGCUUGACUGUGAGACCUACAAGUCGAGCAGGGACGAAAGUCGGUCUUAGUGAUCUGACGGUGCUGAGUGGAAAGGCCGUCACUCAACGGAUAAAAGUUACUCUAGGAUAACAGUCUGAUCUCCCCCAAGAGUUCACAUCGACGGGGAGGUUUGGCACCUCGAUGUCGGCUCAUCGCAUCCUGGGGCGGUAGUACGUCCCAAGGGUUGGGCUGUUCGCCCAUGAAAGCGGUACGCGAGCUGGGUUCAGAACGUCGUGAGACAGUUCGGUCCAUAUCCGGUGUAGGCGUUAGAAUAUUGAGAGGAGCCUUCUUUAGUACGAGAGGACCGAGAAGGACAUACCUCUGGUGUACCAGUUAUCGUGCCAACGGUAAACGCUGGGUAGCUAUGUGUGGAGUGGAUAACCGCUGAAAGCAUCUAAGUGGGAAGCCCACCUCAAGAUAAGUAUUCUC
rnacentral:rRNA from 1 species